rnacentral:rRNA from 1 species
UACGUAGGGUCCGAGCGUUGUCCGGAUUUAUUGGGCGUAAAGAGCGUGUAGGCGGUCUGGUAGGUCCGUUGUGAAAACUCGAGGCUCAACCUCGAGACGCCGAUGGAAACCCUCAGACUAGAGUCCGGAAGAGGAGAGUGGAAUUCCUGGUGUAGCGGUGAAAUGCGCAGAUAUCAGGAAGAACACCCGUGGCUAAGGCGGCUCUCUAGUACGUGACUGACGCUGAGACGCGAAAGCGUGGGGAGCGAACAGG